rnacentral:rRNA from 1 species
CUAGCAUAUCAAUAAGCGGAGGAAAAGAAACCAACAGGGAUUGCCCUAGUAACGGCGAGUGAAGCGGCAACAGCUCAAAUUUGAAAUCUGGCCCUCGGGUCCGAGUUGUAAUUUGUAGAGGAUGCUUUUGGCGCGGUGCCUUCCGAGUUCCCUGGAACGGGACGCCUUAGAGGGUGAGAGCCCCGUACGGUUGGACACCAAGCCUCUGUAAAGCUCCUUCGACGAGUCGAGUAGUUUGGGAAUGCUGCUCUAAAUGGGAGGUAAAUUUCUUCUAAAGCUAAAUAUUGGCCAGAGACCGAUAGCGCACAAGUAGAGUGAUCGAAAGAUGAAAAGCACUUUGAAAAGAGGGUUAAAAAGCACGUGAAAUUGUUGAAAGGGAAGCGUUUGCGACCAGACCUUUUCCUGGCGGAUCAUCCGGUGUUCUCACCGGUGCACUUCGCCAGGUUCAGGCCAGCAUCGGUUCUUGCAGGGGGAUAAAAGCUCUGGGAACGUAGCUCCUUCGGGAGUGUUAUAGCCCUCUGCAUAAUACCCUUGCGGGGACCGAGGACCGCGCUUCGGCAAGGAUGCUGGCGUAAUGGUCGUCAACGACCCGUCUUGAAACACGGACCAAGGAGUCGAACAUUUGUGCGAGUGUUUGGGUGUCAAACCCUCACGCGUAAUGAAAGUGAACGGAGGUGAGAGCCCUUACGGGUGCAUCAUCGACCGAUCCUGAUGUCUUCGGAUGGAUUUGAGUAAGAGCAUAACUGUUCGGACCCGAAAGAUGGUGAACUAUGCGUGGAUAGGGUGAAGCCAGAGGAAACUCUGGUGGAGGCUCGCAGCGGUUCUGACGUGCAAAUCGAUCGUCAAAUCUGCGCAUGGGGGCGAAAGACUUAUCGAACCAUCUAGUAGCUGGUACCGCGAGU